GCAAGUCGAGCGAGAACAGGACCUUCGGGUCCCUAUUAGAGCGGCUGACGGGUGAGUAACACGUGAAUAACGUACCUAGGAGUGGGGGAUAACUACCCGAAAGGGUGGCUAAUACCGCAUAAGACCACAACGCCUUCGGGCGAAGGGGUCAAAGGCUUCGGCCGCUCCUAGAUCGGUUCGCGGGCCAUUAGGUAGUUGGUGAGGUAAUGGCUCACCAAGCCCGAGAUGGCUAGCUGGUCUGAGAGGAUGAUC
rnacentral:rRNA from 1 species